GGCUGAAUAGCUUGGUGGGUUAAAGCAUCAUCUUUUAGCUGAAGGGUUGUGGGUUCGAAACUCGUAUUUAGCCA
rnacentral:tRNA from 1 species